AGAAAAACAUCAAUGUAACUACCAGAAGACAUGGUUUCUUGACAACAUAUGCCGCAAAUUGAAGUGACUAGGCUUUUGGCCUUUGUAUGUUAAAUACUUACUCACUUUUUAAGACCAUGUACUAACUUACAUGCUGCCCUAAAGCAACAAUCUUACAAGACAUUGCACGUUAACUGGGGUUACAUUUUACAGGAGGUUAAUUUUAAAUUUAUUGACAUUUUUACUGUGCCUAUUUUUAUCAGCAAGAGAUUUAAAUACUUCUGGAUUUGUCAUGGCUGCCUGCCUAGCAUUUAUAUGCCUCAGAACUAAUGACUCACAUUUAUAAUUUUCUAGAUUUGUGUGUUUUAAUAGGCCAAAUUAAAAUAGGAAAUAAGGCUAAAGUCUAACAAUUAUUAACUCUCAUUAACUUCUAUACAUUCAUUAAAAAAGUACAAAAAAACCCCUUUGUGAUGCUUUCCUAACCACGAUAACAAAAUUAUCUAGAUAUAUGGGUAGACAGGGAGUAAUAUGAAGGCAUGAUCAAAAAUUUAACAUUUUGAGUAUGAAUUCAUUGUCAUUGUUAUUUGCUGCUGCAAACACCGACAAUUGGGAAGGAGUUCAGAAAGAACAGCAUCAGGCUAAUAAAUCUCAGUGAGGUCCCAGAACACACAAUCUCUAGAUUAUACUCUACAUCCACUUGGCUUUUACUGACUCAGACUUCAGACACAAACCCCUUUUUCAGAAUGAAUGACUGUGAAAUAAAAGUUACCAUUCUGAAUUUGUAUCAACAUAUGAACAUCUUCAGUCACUUCAAGUUAUGAUAAAUUAACUAACAAAAAAUAAAACAAGGGGGAAAGCUCCAAGGUUCUACUUCUAUGACCAACAAGAAUAAGGAAUCCUCUGCAGUUCUGUGUUAUGUACUUUUGGAGAGAUGAGUACCAGCAGGUUCUGCCUGGGCCAUGUGUGUCAACAGAUAAAGCCAGUCAAAAUAUUUCAAUCUGCACACACUCGCCUGACAAUACCUUGUAGAAGUAAGAUCCAACCUCCUAAAGAACGGUUUAAAAACUUUACUAAUCCAUCUUUACACUCCUGCUAUUAAAACUUUUCUACUCAUAGCUAUCACCUUUAAUAUGAAGAGGUAGUAAUUGAAAGAUUCUUAACUAUUAAAAGUAGCUGGAAUCAUCACUUUGCCACAAGAUUUGGCUGUUUGUGAAAGAGAUAACAAACAAACAAGUUAGAAAUGACAAACUGAGUGAGUCAUGCAAGGGGAAAAAUGAUGCAAAUUUAUAUUUAAACAGCACUUGUAAUUCCUGCAAGUACAUUUCUGUUAGUGCAGAUUAAAAUAAAUUAUUUAUUAUGCAUAUGUAGAGAGGCUAUUAAUAGUUGUACUGGGAGAUACACGACAUUGCUUCCAUAUAAAGGCAUAUAAAAAGAAUCAACAUUUUUUUCCUUAAGAAUAAUCAAUAGUGAUGAGCAAGCAACUAGUACAAAUGUUCACAGCCAGCACAAAGGAAACCAACAAUCACGUGCUGAGCAGUCCAUGUUGAGAAACAACCGAAACUGAAUAAAAAUUCAUAGCAACUGUAAGCCAUUUUGCUCGUGUUUAAGUAACGAGCAUACCCAAAUUAGAUUACUAUCUCUGAUCUCCCUGUUCGCCUUAACAGAUAAAACUUUAGGGAUUAGAACACUAUGAUUUAGCCUUUAAAAACGAAGAUCCAAACACUGUUUGUAAAUAAGUGUAAAAAGUGUAUUUUUAAGUCAUGAGAGCUUGUACUCACUCUGCAAGAAUUCUAGGAAUAAAUGUGUCAUCUCACCUCCUUCAAAGCACGAUAUUCCACUUUUUAAAGUUCACAGGAAGAAAGGUAAAUGUAAAAGAAAACAAUUUUUUUUUCCAUACUAGCAUCUAAAGUAUGCUACGAAUAUGCCAAGAAUGUAUACUUCUCAAACAGAACAAUGUAAUUAGAAUAUAAAUAAUUCAAAAAUAUUCUAGACUAGGGUUUCCUGAAGAGACUUCAGUUAGUUGUUUAUCUAUUUAGCAAUAAGAUAUUUUGUUACAGCCCAGGUUUUUCAUCCCUCCACUAACCCAACAUCUCACCUGCUCAAGGGUGUUAUGUUCUUCAAUGAACAGGUUUUUGGAGCCCUCUCAUGAUGAUUAGUGACUUGCAUUUCAGACUCCAGUAACUAAGGUCAAGUUCUCAGAGCAGUCUCAGCACAACCUCUGUCCCUAGAGUUGGAGUUUCAAGAUACAGUCCUUCUUUAAGCUGCUUCUAAGACAUCAACUGUGUGGAUGCUACCACUGGUAGCUGGUUACAUUGCCUAUGCAUUUCUAUGUUGUUACCAAAUAGCUAUUUUAUAAAUAAUUAAGUACUUAUACAUCCAUAAAUAUAAUAUUGCUUAUUUAUGUAGUAUACUUAUAUACAGACAAGACCACCAAAUGGCUACCAAUGCCUAAAGGUGCAGUGUUUCAUGCAAAGUUCACAAAGCCUGCUAUGCUAGAAGUGAGCAUAAACUCUUAAGAGCUACUACAAGAAAACCCCAAACAAACCCACAGGCAUUACUCUGUCUCUUGUCGUCCAGAGUUAAUGCUAUGUAUGAACAAAAAGCGUCAUGUCACCUGGCUAUCUACACCUCGCGUGGCACAAAAGUCACUGUGAAACAGUUUUCAAAGGAGGAAAGCAUGCACUCAGAGACACUGAAGACUGCUGUGAAAACAGAGCAGGAGGGUGUUCUGCAAGGGAAGCUGCUCUGCUCGUGCUCUGACACGUUUUGCUGCUGAAACGCAAUGACGGCUGGAGACAGGACCUCAUGUCAGACAGAUGAGCGGCCUCUGCGGUGCUCUGCUUCAAAACAGAGACGAUGCCAAGAUAGACACCACUGGACACAACUUCUAAUACUUGAGUCAAUUCUGAACCAAAGAAUUGAUGAGGCAGGUGCCUCAACACACUGAAUUUACCAACCAAGCUCCGGUUUAAGAAUGAAGCAUCAAAACUGCUGAACGAUGAAACUUGAUAAUGCUGAACAGAAGAGAUUAUUGUGAUGGUGAAUAUAUCAGAGAAUCUGCUUCAGUUGUAUAAACGGAACAACCUCCAAUUUAAAAUGAGAUCCUCAAAUUGCCACCUCUUAGAAGAAAAAGAUAACCUUAAAAUCCUGGGCAUUAAUAACUGCCGAAGACUUGCUUCUAACAGCACAGUACAGCUGCACUGGUUCAUCCACUGGAUUCAUCUUCGAGAAUACUGGAUAAGAAUUCAGGUUGCUGAAUUCUGCUAGGAAUUCUUACAGAAAUGUAAGUGGGGCCUUAAACGACAGCACACUUAGCACCUGCUGAGUAGUUAGGCACAAUAUCGUGUAUGUUUCCCAGUGUCUUGCAGUUAACCUGCCUUCCGGAAAAAAAAAUUCACUGUAAAACCAUGUACAUUUUUCCUAAAUGUAUUACUAUUCAUUUUUUAUAUGCUCUUUAAUUGUGGAAACCAUUUUACAUCUAGUACAGUUCACUGAAACAUAAGAAAACCUGUUUGACAAAUACAGCCAAAAAUGUUUGCCUGUUACUCAUAUAUAAUACAGUUACCAUAAUCCAGAAAGACUAAGUGUCCAUUUUUAAUUUCCUUUUGAGGAGCUGGAAAUACAGAUUUGGAACUACUAGGUCCAUUAUUAUAGUCUUCUGUAUAAUGUUUUAAGGGACAGAAUAAAUAAAUUUGUUCUUCUGAGGUAACUGCCGAGGUCCCAGAAGCCCGCUAUAGCAACUCCUGAAACUACAGCAGUCUUUGAUUUUAAGAACAAUGUUAAUCAAUUGCAAACUUUCCUUCCCCCCAUCCCCGAAGUCAUUCAUAAAACCAGAUGUGACAGUCUGUCCGGAUUACUGGAACUACACUGACUAUUUCCUCCUGCCCAGAAGCAAAUGUGAUUGUGGUCAAGAUCUCAGCACUCACCCAACGUCAAGAACAAAAAAACCUUGAAGGCUUAAUAGAUUUUGGCAUUCGUUUGCUGUGCUAACACAUUACAAAUAAGGAUUUAAAUUUAAUCCAAGUCACAGCUCUCUUCUUUAUAGCAAGAGGCUGCUUAAGGUACAAAUAACUGUGGUGCACUGCAUUAUACAUGGAUAAAUUCAAGUAGGACCCUCAUUAAAUGGGGUCCAAUUCCUGUGCGCAAGCAACAAGUGCCUGGCAGUGCCAAUAAGAGAUGCAGUAAGUACAAAGAAGUGCUCCUUAAAACAGGGAUGGCCAACAUGCAUGCUGUGAACACUGCACUGGGAAGACUGAAAACAACUACUGUUGCCCCCAGAGCUACCUUCUGAAGCGGUAUCUUUUCCUUCCCUUUUGUGUUAAAAGAAGCCUCCACAAGUAAAGCAAAACUAAACAUUCAGUGACAGGCUGUGUCGGGUUCCUCACUCCCACCUAGGCUUGCAUCCACAAACAGUCCCUGAUUAGGCUGAAGGUCACUAACCCAAGAAGUUCAUUACCAACCCAGGCUGCAGGACAGAACCAGAGCUGUGGCAGUACUGUGCAGUAACUAUAGCAAGUCACAUAGAGAACAGAGUUUGCUUCUCAUGGAAGGGAAAGAAAAUGUUUUAAGAAAGGUUGCCUUCAGCUGCUUCUCACUGUAGCAGCUCCUGACAUUGUUAAGCUAGGAGAAGGACCUUCAAAGAGGCUUGCAAGAAAUAGGGCACAAGAAGAAAAUCCCCACGAUUGCCUCUCUUAUGACAGUGAGGACUUGAGGAAGGCUCCAGCACAGCACGAGCAAGGAGCACCUGGAUCUGAGGUCAGCAGAUGGCUGCGCUAUCCAAGAACCACGACUGGAUAUGGGCACUUCAACUGUUCCCCAAUUUCUACAAGUAACAUGCAGCUCCUACUCCCAACCAACAAAUUGUAGCAGAGCCCAGCGCAACACAAACAAACCCCACCUAUGUACAUUCCAAAGAGACAGUACAAACUUCCCAUACGAUGACCACGGCCUGCUGUCUUAACUUUUAUUACAUGUGACCAGGAAGAAGACCAGGAUACGAAAUUAAGCCUGCAGUAACAUCGUUUCUCCAUUCUUUUAUGAGACCUUGCUGUCCCAGUUAUAAUUCAGAUUCUCAAUUUUAUGUGCAUGUGAAAUAUUGAUGGGAUCAGUGGUGUUACCGUAACUGAGUCAGUGUAACAAGACAAAGAAGAAGAACACAUACUCAGAAGAAAACGCCAUUUAAAAUAAUAAAUAUGGUUUCAACCAGACCACAGACAGCAGUAGAAGCUCUAUUAAAUUCCAAAACACAAACCAGUUCUUUCAAUAUAAAGCAAAAAUUAUUUACUGAAUGGUUAAUUAUUUUUCAUUUUAAACUGCUAGUAAAAAUAAGCAUUGAAAGGAGUUUAGUGAGUUUUUUUAAAACCAUUUUCAGAUAAACAUGGAGUUAUUGUUUUCAUCAUGGAACAUCUGUAAUUUUCUAUAUCAUGUAAACAUAAGAACUUCAUCUUAAUAGCCUAAAAUUAUUUAUGGAAUAUAUACAAUAUGUACUUCUAAAAUAAAGAGUGUAUUUCAAUAUUCUUGCCAAACAAACACUACGUAAGGGUAUUUAUGGUAUCUUAUUUCUUUCAAAAACUAACACACAUACUGAAUAACUGUUAGAGAUGAAAAAAAUAUUAUUUGAGAGAAAUUCUUAUCACCAGGCUUGUCUCAGUUUGGCUUGAUUGAUUUCCCUGUAGUUAGAUGAAGCUCAAGUCUGGUGCCAGCAGUUGUUUUACUGCUCUGAAAUGCUUGCAGACAAAUACGUAUUAAUAUGAUACAGAACUAUUUGAGAUAAAACUAAGUUCAUGCGGAUGCUGUAUGGAGAAUUUACCCCUAACUAAAUGGAAUACAGAAGCUAGUAAUCUGUCCAGAAACUAUGACCACUUCCCCCCUUCCCCAAAUAAGCAGGUAUCUGUUGAAGUAAACACCUAAGGUGAAGCACUCCUGCUGCUAAGGAAAGUUAGUAUAAAUCUGUUUUACUUCACUCCAAUAUAAAUAUUUCUGUUGAUUUUUCAUAUGAAAUACUUAUCUGAUUUUGUCUAACCCUCAGAGCAGAAUAACGUUACACUUACUGCUCAAGAUGCUGGAGAAAAUAGUCCAAUCUCCAGGAUAUGAUAUUUUUCCAAGCUACAAGUCCAUCCAAGCUACAGGAUAUGAUAUUUUGCUUGGUGGAAGAUGUUUUCAAAGGUAAAAAGGUCAGCAGAUAGACCUGAGUCCCAGCUGUGCCUUAUGACUUGGGUAACUCCUCAAAUACAAUGUAUACUGUACAGAGGUUGUAUAGUUUAUUGGCCGUGAAUGCAAGAAAAUAUGCUUACCAUAAUGCAGUUACCAUUGCAACUAUCCAGUUUCAAUGGCUGUAAUGUCAACAUUAAAAUAAACAUACAUGCUUAAAUUCCUACUUGCGACAUUUUAAUCGCUAAGCAGAAAUAUCGCACCAGUGCAGUCUAACACCCAAAGAAUACAAACCCAAGUUAUCAGCACUUAAUGACAAGCAGGUCCACUCCCAUUUGUGAAGUGGUUUUCCUGCAUUAUGGUAAAAGUGAAUUAGAUAAUAGCUACUAUUAUUUAAUUAGAAUGUAUUAUUAUCUGCCUCAGAUAAUUCAUAGACUGACCAUUCUGCCCAUCUACAAAUUACAGUAUCAGCUAUUACCACAAUUGGUAGGCUGCGGUACCUGAAAUGUUAACAUAUUCCCAGUAAACUGUAGGAGAAGAAUGCUAUAAACCCUUACUGUAAAAUAAGUCAGUGCAAUUUGGGACUUCUCAGUACUGACUGUGCAGGUUCGAAAAUGCAAGUCAUUGAAAUGAUGUACAAGGAAUCCUCAGCCAGUAAACAGGAAUUUCUCGGUAAUAUAGAAACGUCAGGACAAUGGUAAAAACCAACAACAAAACAGAAACAAACAAACCACCCAAUACUUUAUUUCACUCAAAGAGCACAACAAAACAAUCUAUGUAUCAAAAUCCUUGUUUCUGGGGUGGAUAAUUAUGCCUGGAAAAAGAUCCUUCUGUUUCUGGCAAUUCCAACUCUGAGCACAGACAACCACUGCGUUAGUCCAUUUAACUUCAUUAUAUUUUAGCGGAGCUAUUUUUAGCCAUUACAAAACUAAUGGAAGAGCUGAGAGUCUACAUUCCACUCUAAUUGAGCCAUCAUGUUUAGCAGCCAACUAUUUUGUACAUUAUAAAUGCAGCAAUACAUAUCAGAGAUAAUACUAACAUCUGUUUUAUGAGGCAAAAGGCCAAGCGGCCAAAUACUCGAUCCCGGUAAAAGAACCAGAUUUUUUUGUUGCUUUCUAGGACUGUUUAACAGUGCUCUCACCAUAGCUUGUGAGUUCCUUAGUUGGGAGAUGAAUUUAAAGAUUUUAUUUAUUUAUUUAUUUUAAAACAGGAAAGGGAUGCAUGCUUGUAUUUAUACAAAGGAAUCACCUUUAUACUCUAGGAUUGAGAACUCUUUCACAGUAGUUUGGGCUGCUAUAUCUGAAGUUAGUCAGGAAAACGUUCACACUCUCCACUCCAAACAGUGGAAAAAGUUGUUCUUGUUUUAACCUCCAGCAGUAAAAGGAAGACCUCCUUAACCCCCUUCCUUAUCUUUACAGGUGGCCAGUGGGAAAAAGAAAAAAAAAAAACAAACACUUUUCAUCACUUCUCAGUAUCAGGGUCAUCUGGUUCAAGAAUCAAAUGGGAGUCAAAGAAACCAAUUCCCACGUGUGUUGCAGCUGCUGCCCUGACCAUGUCACUGAGCUACUCCCAUCAAGAAGAAACACUUCACAAAGAACAUUUUAAUAUUAGUGCCGGCUGCUAACCUGAGAAACAGAAGAUGAUACUGAACAAUACCCUACAGCAGAUCAGCACUCCUUGUCCUUCUGCAUGUAAGAAACUUAGAACUGAUUAUUUUUCUCACAGCUGACGAAUAUUGACUUUGACUCAGGCUAACUGGUACGAGCAAGGAAGUAGAGAACGAGAAUUAAAAAAUCUCAACGCUAAAGUAAAGUAUUUUGAAACUUAAACCAGACACCCUUUAACCAAGUUUCAUAUUUCCAGCUCUUCAGGAGAGGAGAAACUUAAGAAAAAAAUGCUAGCAACUUAAAAAAUAUGUCAUUAUAUAAUGAGUUAAGUUUCAAGAACAGAAUUUAAACUAUCUUCCUGAGGAUCUCUAAUUAUACAGAUAUGGUAAUUUGCAAACGAUAAUUUGUAACACAGUUAUUCUCAGCCUCAAACACCAGCUUCAGAUGAGCUUAUUUAUAAGCAAUAAACAAGCUCAAAUAUUGAAGAAAACACGCUUCCAUUAAAGGAGAUUGCAGAGUCCUAAAUGGGCAGCAGUUCAAGAAUGCUACACUAGUAGUCAGGCAUGUACGAUUUACAGUACUUUUACUUUUCUACUGCUGCCACUAAGUUUAGAACAUGCCCUACAAAAAGGCCUUGCUGAUUUUCAAGUGUUCUGUAGAUCCGCAGUACAUUUAUUUUGGUACUUUCAACACAAGCCUUUGAAACCUUGCCUUCAGCGUGACUCCAUCUCCUAUAACCUUUCGCUAGAAUCUCGUUCACUGUAUUCCUUCUCCCCAUGCCAUUAAGCCCACAUAGUUACUCAUGUUCUCCAAAGAGGCUGUCAGCAGGAGCCAUCGUCACAAACGAUGAUGUACUUUUGUCUUUUGUUUUUAAGAAAAACUGACACUUCUUUGUCAUUAUCUCCCUUAAAACGUUAGCCUACACAGUUUGAGAAGUAGGGAAGAAAUAAUCCUGGCAUGUCACAUGCAGAUCUAUCUGCAUGGAGAACAUUCUUCUAAAAUGCGUUCCAGUUAAUUGUUUUGUAAAGUCUUCCAUAUAAAUAAACAUUUGAAGCAGAAAAGCAAUGGACGGUUUUACACACUGUGCUUUUAAAAAAUGACAGGCCACACAGCUCAGAUUUCUCUUAAAUUCUCAAGACGUGUUUUGGAGGUUUUUGGAUUUAUGUUACUUAAAAAUCCAAGUGAGAAGAUAAUACGCAUAACAAUGAUGGAAGAGUAAUUUCAGUCACACCUCCAAUAAUAUGACAAACAGUUUGAGUCAUAAAUCUACCACAAUGGGGCUAUCGUUCUCCUACUGUGACAAAGAAAUAAGAAAGGUAGGCAGAAGAACAGAAACGUUUUUUUUCCAUUUAACUGUGAGCUGGCAGGAAGGUUCUUGCCCAGAGUACACAGAUAAGCCAGUUGGCAGCAGAAGUACUUUGGAGCACCUAGAAUCACCCAAACCCCUCCUUUUGUUUAUUUGGAAGAUAACACUCAUCCCUGCAGCACAAAUUAAAAAAUUAUGUCCAUAAUCCUAAUGGCACAGCUGGGUUAUGAUGAAAAAACACACCAAACUCUGUCAAUGUAUACAAAGAAAAGGAAAAAGAAUUGAUAAUUUUGAAAAAAAUUAAUUACAUUGUUACCUAUAAUUUGUUAUUUGUGCACCAUAUUUUCAGGCCUUUCCUUCCCUAAAUUUGGCUAAACCUCCAGUGUACAGCAUCAAAGUCCUCUAAUUAGAGCUUUAAUUGAUGCUGAUAUCAUCAUUAAGAGCUAUUCUGUUAUUGCAAACAUUCAUCUUAUCUUUUUCCCCUACUAAAUAUUCAAAUGGCUCAUUGUCAUUGAACUAUUCAAUAACUGAAAUAUACCAAUACCUCACACACUUCAUUUUCUUUAUGGACAGUAACAUUAUAUUAUUUGCACAGUAAGUUUUUUUCACUCUAAAUUUGAUUCUGUCUGUUUCAAUUGAAUACUUGCUUUUUUUUUUUUUUUCC